UACGUAGGGGGCGAGCGUUGUCCGGAUUUAUUGGGCGUAAAGAGCGUGUAGGCGGCCAAGUAAGUCCGGUGUGAAAACUCGAGACUUAACCUCGAGAUGUCAUCGGAAACUAUUUGGCUAGAGUCCGGAAGAGGAGAGUGGAAUUCCUGGUGUAGCGGUGAAAUGCGCAGAUAUCAGGAAGAACACCUAUGGCGAAAGCAGCUCUCUGGGACGGUACUGACGCUGAGACGCGAAAGCGUGGGGAGCGAACAGG
rnacentral:rRNA from 1 species